rnacentral:rRNA from 1 species
GACAGAGGAGGCGAGCGUUAUCCGGAAUCACUGGGUGUAAAGGGUGCGUAGGCGGGCGUGCGCGUCUGGGGUGAAAGGCUCCGGCUCAACCGGAGACAUGCCCUGGGUACGGCACGUCUUGGGUGCGGGAGAGGACGAUGGAAUUCCUGGUGUAGCGGUGAAAUGCGUAGAUAUCAGGAGGAACACCGGUGGCGAAGGCGGUCGCCUGGCCCGCAACCGACGCUGAGGCACGAAAGCGUGGGGAGCAAACAGG